AGUGAACGCUGGCGGUAGGCCUAACACAUGCAAGUCGAACGGCAGCACAGGAAAGCUUGCUCUCUGGGUGGCGAGUGGCGGACGGGUGAGGAAUACAUCGGAAUCUACUCUGUCGUGGGGGAUAACGUAGGGAAACUUACGCUAAUACCGCAUACGACCUACGGGUGAAAGCAGGGGACCUACGGGCCUUGCGCGAUUGAAUGAGCCGAUGUCGGAUUAGCUAGUUGGCGGGGUAAAGGCCCACCAAGGCGACGAUCCGUAGCUGGUCUGAGAGGAUUAUCAGCCACACUGGAACUGAGACACGGUCCAGACUCCUACGGGAGGCAGCAGUGGGGAAUAUUGGACAAUGGGCGCAAGCCUGAUCCAGCCAUACCGCGUGGGUGAAGAAGGCCUUCGGGUUGUAAAGCCCUUUUGUUGGGAAAGAAAUCCAGCUGGCUAAUACCCGGUUGGGAUGACGGUACCCAAAGAAUAAGCACCGGCUAACUUCGUGCCAGCAGCCGCCGUAA
rnacentral:rRNA from 1 species